ACCCAAACUCAAAACUCCCUUGACCAACUCUAUGGAAGAUUAGGUUAACCCAAACCCAUGUACACUCAUGACUCGACCUAAUCUCACCUAUCCUGGGCCCAGACCUAGCCCAUAAAGAGUUGGUCCCUUGAGGCCUACAUAACCUAGACCUCAAGAAUCCGAAAGGCCCACAACCUUUCAACCUAGGGCCCAACUAGCCCUAGAGCCUCCAUGAAUCCCUCAUGAAUGAUGGACCUUGACCUUAGCCUUGGUCCCCUGGGCCUUGGGCACACCACCU
rnacentral:lncRNA from 1 species